GCCGGGGUUGCGGAGUCUGGACUAACGCGCAGGCCUUGAGAGCCUGUGGGGCGUAUGCCCCUCGUGGGUUCAAAUCCCACCCCCGGCG
rnacentral:tRNA from 1 species